rnacentral:rRNA from 1 species
UUAAAAUUGUAAAUUUUUUAUAUUAAAGAAGUAUUAGGUAAGAUCUUGAAAUUUAAAAAAUUUGGCAGUAUUUUAAUCUAUUCAGAGGAACCUGUUCUAUAAUCGAUAUUCCACGAUAAAAAAUACUUACUUUAAUAGUUUGUAUAUCGUCGUUUUUAAAUAUUUUAUAAGAAUUUAAAUAUUUAAUAAUUAAUAUUUUAAAAUAUUUCAGAUCAAGGUGCAGUUUAUAAUUGAGAAGAAAUGGGUUACAAUAAAUAUAUUUAAAUGGAUUUGGUAUUUAAAAUAUUAAUAAAAGUGGAUUUAAAAGUAAUAAUAAAUAUUUAAAUUUUAUGAUUUUAGCUCUAAAAUAUGU